rnacentral:rRNA from 1 species
UACGUAGGGACCAAGCGUUGUUCGGAUUUACUGGGCGUAAAGGGCGCGUAGGCGGCAAUUCAAGUCAGUUGUGAAAUCUCCGAGCUUAACUCGGAACGGUCAACUGAUACUGCUUUGCUAGAGUACAGAAGGGGCAAUCGGAAUUCUUGGUGUAGCGGUGAAAUGCGUAGAUAUCAAGAGGAACACCUGAGGUGAAGACGGGUUGCUGGGCUGAUACUGACGCUGAGUGCGCGAAAGCUAGGGUAGCAAACGGG